CGCAUCUGUGCAUGCAGCAUAUCAAUAAGCGGAGGAAAAGAAACUAACAAGGAUUCCCCUAGUAACGGCGAGUGAAGCGGGAAGAGCUCAAAUUUGAAAUCUUAAAGGGUUUCCCUUUACGAAUUGUAGUUUAAAGAAGUGUUUUCUGUUGAGGUUUUGGUAAAAGUUCUUUGGAAUAGGACAUCAUAGAGGGUGAGAAUCCCGUAUUUGACCUUUACUUUCAACUUUGUGAUACACUUUCAAAGAGUCGGAUUGUUUGGGAAUGCAGUCCAAAAUGGGUGGUAAUUUCAUCUAAAGCUAAAUAUUGGCGAGAGACCGAUAGCGAACAAGUACCGUGAGGGAAAGAUGAAAAGAACUUUGAAAAGAGAGUUAAACAGUACGUGAAAUUGUCAAAAGGGAAGCGUUUGACACCAGUGUUGUUUUUCUGAAAAUCAAUUAAAGAACUGUUUAUGCUAAGCUGUUUAGACUUUAUCAGCUAACUGUUUAGUUUUGAGCUUUUCUUUAGUGCACUUUUCAGUUAACAAGUCAACAUCAAUUUCUUUUGCUGUAAAAAAGCUUGAGGAAGGUGGCUUGAGAUUCGUCUUAAGUGUUUAUAGCCUCUUGCCUAUGCAGUCGGAGAGAUUGAGGUCUGCAGCGUAGAUCCUUCGGGGCUAAAUGCAUUUGUGCUAAGUUAUAGCAUUUUAUAGACAACUUGUUGACUAUGAUUUGUCUUGUAGCUUACUCGCUUAUGUUAUUUUACCUACGCUUAGGAUGUUGAGUCAUCACACAUCUCU
rnacentral:rRNA from 1 species